UACCUCUGACAGUGCAGCAGCUCU
rnacentral:piRNA from 1 species